AUCAACUUUCGAUGGUAGGAUAGAGGCCUACCAUGGUGGUAACGGGUAACGGGGUGUUAGGGCACGACACCGGAGAGGGAGCCUGAGAAACGGCUACCACAUCCAAGGAUGGCAGCAGGCGCGCAAAUUACCCAAUCCCGACACGGGGAGGUAGUGACAAUAAAUAACAAUACGGGGUUCUUUAGGAUCUCGUAAUUGGAAUGAGUACAAUUUAAAUCUCUUAACGAGGAACAAUUGGAGGGCAAGUCUGGUGCCAGCAGCCGCGGUAAUUCCAGCUCCAAUAGCGUAUAUUAAAGUUGUUGCAGUUAAAAAGCUCGUAGUUGAAUUUCGGGGUUAGUAAGUUGGUCAUGCCUUUGGUAUGCACUGGCUUUACUGAUUCCUCCUUCUUGACGAACCGUGAUGUCAUUAAUUUGGUGUUGCGGGAAAUCAGGACUGUUACUUUGAAAAAAUUAGAGUGUUUAAAGCAGGCUAACGCUUGAAUACAUUAGCAUGGAAUAAUGAAAUAGGACGUUAAUCCUAUUUUGUUGGUUUCUAGGAUCGACGUAAUGAUUAAUAGGGAUAGUUGGGGGCAUUAGUAUUCAAUUGUCAGAGGUGAAAUUCUUGGAUUUAUUGAAGACUAACUACUGCGAAAGCAUUUGCCAAGGAUGUUUUCAUUAAUCAAGAACGAAAGUUAGGGGAUCGAAGACGAUCAGAUACCGUCGUAGUCUUAACCAUAAACUAUGCCGACUAGGGAUCGGAUGAUGUUAAUUCUUUAAUGACUCAUUCGCGCUUACGGGAAACCAAAGUGUUUGGGUUC
rnacentral:rRNA from 1 species